GAGUUUGAUCCUGGCUCAGGACGAACGCUGGCGGCGUGCUUAACACAUGCAAGUCGAGCGAAGCACUUAAGUUUGAUUCUUCGGAUGAAGACUUUUGUGACUGAGCGGCGGACGGGUGAGUAACGCGUGGGUAACCUGCCUUAUACUGGGGGAUAACAGCCAGAAAUGACUGCUAAUACCGCAUAAGCGCACAGAACCGCAUGGUUCCGUGUGAAAAACUCCGGUGGUAUAAGAUGGACCCGCGUUGGAUUAGCUUGUUGGUGGGGUAACGGCCCACCAAGGCGACGAUCCAUAGCCGGCCUGAGAGGGCGGACGGCCACAUUGGGACUGAGACACGGCCCAAACUCCUACGGGAGGCAGCAGUAGGGAAUUUUCGUCAAUGGGGGGAACCCUGAACGAGCAAUGCCGCGUGAGUGAGGAAGGUCUUCGGAUCGUAAAGCUCUGUUGUAAGAGAAAAACGGCACUCAUAGGGAAUGAUGAGUGAGUGAUGGUAUCUUACCAGAAAGUCACGGCUAACUACGUGCCAGCCGCCGCGGUAAUAC
rnacentral:rRNA from 1 species